ACAAGGAGGGCACCGUGACGGCACAUCUGUGGGAAAAUCUAAGCCUAACUCUGUGUGGAAUUUUGUGGAAAACUUCAAGCAUACAGAUUGAUGCCAUUAGAGACCGUUUGGUUGGUGUUCUAGACGUUGCAAGGCUGGAGAACUUCCCGCUAGCGAGAUACUAUUGGUGAAGAAGAAGCUAAUAGCUGACGAGUUCGCUAGAGUUGAUUCGGUUAUUGAGGUGAGCCGCCGCAUUGUUCGUGGAGGCUGCCAAAAGAGUCUUUAUCAUUUAUUCAUAUGAUGUCUUUUGUAAUUAUCUUAGAUGCUCCAUGGUCUAGUGUAGAAUU